UACGGGGGGGGCAAGCGUUGUUCGGAAUUACUGGGCGUAAAGGGUUCGUAGGUGGCCAACUAAGUCAGACGUGAAAUCCCUCAGCUUAACUGGGGAACUGCGUCUGAUACUGGUUGGCUUGAGUGCAGGAGAGGAAUGCGGAAUUCCAGGUGUAGCGGUGAAAUGCGUAGAUAUCAGGAAGAACACCCGUGGCGAAGGCGGCUCUCUGGGACGGUACUGACGCUGAGACGCGAAAGCGUGGGGAGCGAACAGG
rnacentral:rRNA from 1 species